GCGGUCCUGUUAGGUGGUCCAGGUAGUUUGGGGCUGAGGCCGUCUCCUGAAGAGUAACCGCGGGCCUGUGCUACGGUCACGCCACCGGCCUCCGUUUCCUUUAGCCUUCUCUCUCACCAAACGAUUUUCCUGUCCAGUUAUAAAGUGCAAGUUGUUUCCCCAAGCUGAGAUGGAGCAAUAGAGACCAGAUGUACCUUUCCCAGCUGAAACAACUAAAAAGACAAGACAAAAUAUAUUAAAGAAUGGUUCUUGAGACACUGGACACCACACAGUGAAGAACAGUGAUCCCUGAAAGAUGAGAAACAAAUAAGAUCUUGGAAUGCUCCAGUCUUUUUGCAAAGUCGAUGAGUGGCUUCAGCACUGGGGAAGAAGCCCGAAAGGUGACCAGAUGGAACCUGCAUUCACAGUCUUCAAAGUUCCCUUUUGAAACAUAAGGAAGAGAAUGAAGGGGAGAAGGAUUUCACACUUUCGGGGUAAGGGGAGAUUUUUUUCUGUUGAUGUUUGGUUAUGAAGGUGAAACAGCAAAGCAUCUAUUUGUCUCCAAAAUCUACGUUAUUAGCAGCACAAAGGUUUCCUUUCAAAGUUCAGACCGCUUUUUUAGGAUGAGAAAGGGUGUAUGUUGCGUUGUGUUGUGUGUUACAGGAAUGCAGAUAUUAACAUAAACACAAGUGCCUCACACACGGUUCCUUUUUUGCUCUCUGUACGUACAUUGCUAUCUGCUUCUUUGUUGGCUGCGCUCUGGAUCACUCGCUGCUCAGACUGCCUAACACAAGGACAAAACUUUGAAGUAAAAAGUGUGUCUUUUGGUAUAUGGAAUUGUCUUUAACAGCUGCCUCUCUGCUUGCAGAAGCAGCACAUAACAACCUGGGAAUCUUCUGUUUUACUCUUUCUUUUAUUAAACUAAGUCUUGUUUA